rnacentral:rRNA from 1 species
ACAUACCCCAAAGUGGAGGACAGCUCGUCGAAAGACGGGGUAAUACUCCAUAGUCUCGCAAGAGUAAAGCAGCAAUGCGCUUUGGGAAUGGCCUACGGCCUAUCAGAUUGUUGGCGAGGUAAAGGCUCACCAAGUCUAUGACGGGUAGGGGGCGUGAGAGCGCGACCCCCAAGAAUGGCACUGCGAUACGGGCCAUACUCCUACGGGAGGCUGCAGUCGAGAAUCUUCCGCAAUGGGCGAAAGCCUGACGGAGCGACGUUACGUGAAUGAUGAAGCCCUUUGGGGUGUAAAGUUCUUUUAUGUGGGAGGAAGUUAUUGACAGUACCACAUGAAUAAGGGGAUCCUAAUUCUGUGCCAGCAGGAGCGGUAAUACAGAAUCCCCAAGCGUUACCCGGAUUUAUUGGGCGUAAAGGGUCCGUAGGUGGUAAUGUAAGU